rnacentral:rRNA from 1 species
AGAAUCAACGCUGGCGGCGUGCCUAACACAUGCAAGUCGCACGAGAAAGGGACUUCGGUCUUGAGUAAAGUGGCGCACGGGUGAGUAACACGUGACUAAUCUACCCUCGAGUGGGGAAUAACUGAGAGAAAUCUUAGCUAAUACCGCAUAACACUUACGAGUCAAAGCAGCAAUGCGCUUGGGGAGGAGGUCGCGGCCGAUUAGCUAGUUGGCGGGGUAAUGGCCCACCAAGGCGAUGAUCGGUAUCCGGCCUGAGAGGGCGCACGGACACACUGGAACUGAAACACGGUCCAGACUCCUACGGGAGGCAGCAGUGGGGAAUUUUGCGCAAUGGGGGAAACCCUGACGCAGCAACGCCGCGUGGAGGAUGAAGUAUCUUGGUACGUAAACUCCUUUCGAUGGGGAAGAUAAUGACGGUACCAUAGAAGAAGCCCGGCUAACUUCGCGCCAGCAGCCGC